UGCACCCCAGCGCCCUCUGCCUGCGCCGCGACAACUAAACCUUCAUUAGCACCACGUCCUCAAACAGCCAACAUAGUGUCUAUUGAUAGUCGGCGAGAGAUAGACGCGAUACGGGAGUUUCCUCGAAAAGUGUCCGAACCUUUCAUUGACAUACCAAUGUAAAUAAAUAAAUUCAUUUGAUAAACAACGGUGGUAUUAAAAUGUGAAUGAGCGUAGUCUUGUUUUCAGCUGCAUUUUCCUACUGUUUGUGUGGAUUUGACUUAGUGUUUUGCUGAAUGCAGUAUGAGAUAGAUUGAGCUAUGUUUUUAAAGAUGUCAAGAGGAAAGUCAAAGGCUCAAGGAUGUUGACUACGUAGACUGCGAGAAGACUAGCAAUGGAUGAAUUAACGAGGCCCUCGCAAAGCGCAAUGUCCCUUUUUUGGAUUCUUUGCGGGCUGUCAGCCAUCGAGGCUCUGAAAAUAGUCAUCGAACCGCUGC